UUGACCUCAAAUCAGGUAGGACCACCCGCUGAACUUAAGCAUAUCAAUAAGCGGAGGAAAAGAAACUAACAAGGAUUCCCCUAGUAACUGCGAGUGAAGAGGGAAAAGCUCAAAUUUGUAAUCUGGCGGCCUUUGGCGUUCGAGUUGUAAUCUAGAGAAGUGCUACCUGCGCUGGACCAUGUACAAGUCUCCUGGAAUGGAGCAUCAUAGAGGGUGAGAAUCCCGUCUUUGACAUGGACUGCCAGAGCUUAUAGGUGCGCUCUCAAAGAGUCGAGUUGUUUGGGAAUGCAGCUCAAAAUGGGUGGUAAAUGCCAUCUAAAGCUAAAUAUUGGCGAGAGACCGAUAGCGAACAAGUACCGUGAGGGAAAGAUGAAAAGAACUUUGGAAAGAGAGUUAAACAGUACGUGAAAUUGCUGAAAGGGAAACGCUUGAAGUCAGUCGCAUCAGUUGGAAAUCAACCUUGCUUUUGCUGGGCGUACUUUCCAUCUGAUGGGUCAGCAUCAAUUUCGAUUGCUGGAUAAAGUUCUUGGGAAUGUGGCAUCCUUGGAUGUGUUAUAGCCCUUGGACAUAUGCAGUGGUCGGGAUUGAGGAACUCAGCACGCCGCAAGGCUGAGACUUUUGUCUACAAUACGUGCUUAGGAUGCUGGCAUAAUGGCUUUAAUCGACCCGUCUUGAACACGGACCAAGGAGUCUAACAUGCUUGCGAGUGUUUGAGUGGAAAACUCAUGCGCGUAAUGAAAGUGAUAGUUGAGAUCCCUGUCAUGGGGAGCAUCGAUGCCCAGACCAGAGCUUUUGUGACGGAUCUGCGGUAGAGCAUGUAUGUUGGGACCCGAAAGAUGGUGAACUAUGCCUGAAUAGGGUGAAGCCAGAGGAAACUCUGGUGGAGGCUCGUAGCGAUUCUGACGUGCAAAUCGAUCGUCAAAUUUGG
rnacentral:rRNA from 1 species